AUUGAACGCUGGCGGCAGGCCUAACACAUGCAAGUCGAACGGUAGCACAGAGAGCUUGCUCUCGGGUGACGAGUGGCGGACGGGUGAGUAACGUCUGGGAAACUGCCCGAUGGAGGGGGAUAACUACUGGAAACGGUAGCUAAUACCGCAUAACGUCGCAAGACCAAAGCGGGGGACCUUCGGGCCUCACACCAUCGGAUGUGCCCAGAUGGGAUUAGCUAGUAGGUGGGGUAAUGGCUCACCUAGGCGAGGAUCCCUAGCUGGUCUGAGAGGAUGACCAGCCACACUGGAACUGAGACACGGUCCAGACUCCUACGGGAGGCAGCAGUGGGGAAUAUUGCACAAUGGGCGCAAGCCUGAUGCAGCCAUGCCGCGUGUAUGAAGAAGGCCUUCGGGUUGUAAAGUACUUUCAGCGGGGAGGAAGGCGGUGAAGUUAAUAGCUUCACCGAUUGACGUUACCCGCAGAAGAAGCACCGGCUAACUCCGUGCCAGCAGCCGCCGUAA
rnacentral:rRNA from 1 species